AGUCGUAACAAGGUUUCCGUAGGUGAACCUGCGGAAGGAUCAUUACCGAGUUAGGGUCGCCCCCGCGCGCCCGACCUCCAACCCUUUGUCUACCCGACCUUAUUGUUGCUUCGGCAGGCCCGCCGCCCCUCGUGGGUGGCCGCCGGGGGCUUAACCGCCCCGGGCCCGCGCCUGUCGAUGGCCCACCCACAAACUCUUGUACUUAAACGUGUCGUCUGAGUUAACAAACAAAAUAAAACAAAACUUUCAACAACGGAUCUCUUGGUUCUGGCAUCGAUGAAGAACGCAGCGAAAUGCGAUAAGUAAUGCGAAUUGCAGAAUCCGUGAGUCAUCGAAUCUUUGAACGCACAUUGCGCCCUCUGGUAUUCCGGAGGGCAUGCCUGUUCGAGCGUCAUUAUCACCCCUCAAGCCCGGCUUGUUGUUGGACGCGGCGGCGCCUUUUGCGCCCCGCCCGUCUCAAAGAUAAUGACGGCGUCUGCGAGGACCCCUGUACACUGAGCUUUCGGGCACGUACUAGGUGUGGAAUCCAGACCCGGUCACCGUCCCUUCUAGGGACAAAACUUUUAACCAGGUGA
rnacentral:misc_RNA from 1 species